AUUAUUUUAUCGACAGAAAUUUAAUUCAAUAGUAUAUGUUCCUAUCAGUUUAAUAUUUGAUACGUGGGCCAUUGGUCCACUAUGAUAUUAAAUUAAUUUUUUUAUGGGGAGAGGGUUCAUUUCAAUAGCUUGCUAUUGGAAUUCUCGUGUGUCGUGUUGCACUAUUGCAAGAUUCAGGCGGACCCAAC